rnacentral:rRNA from 1 species
AGUUGGUGGAGUGAUUUGUCUGGUUAAUUCCGUUAACGAACGAGACCUCAGCCUGCUAAAUAGAGACACGAAUGAUUCUUCAUUGGUGAUCUCUUCUUAGAGGGACAUGUAGUAUAAAACUACAGGAAGAUUGAGGCAAUAACAGGU